ACUUGUUCUCAGGGCGGGGUGGAAGUCCCCACCGGCGGUGAUCCGGCUUUGCCGGUGAGCCCGCGAGCGCCCCUCCGGGUGGAGGGGGUCCAGCAGACCCGGUGCGAAUCCGGGGCCGACGGUAACAGUCCGGAGUGAAGAGAAUGAGG
rnacentral:ncRNA from 2 species